rnacentral:lncRNA from 1 species
UUUGUAAACAAAGCCGUGUUCUAAUGAGCACAAAAUAUGUUUGACACAUGCGCACAAAUUUACUGUUUAUAUUAAAGUUAUUUCCAUCGUUAUCCUAUAAAAUAUAUACAUUCAAGAAGCUUACAUAAACUGUUAUAAUAUAUGUUAUAUCGAACAACAUAUAUUUCCCCUGCUCGUAUUUUUUUUUAAACUUAUCAAAUAUGAAAUGUAAUGUACAGACUCCUCGGG